rnacentral:tRNA from 1 species
GCCAAGGUAGCUCAGAUGGUUAGAGCGUCGGAUUCAUAACCCGGAGGUCGGCGGUUCAAUUCCGCCUCUUGGUA